rnacentral:rRNA from 1 species
ACACAUGCAAGUCGAACGGACAAUUAUUUAUAGCCUCUGGCUAUAGGAAAUUGUUAGUGGCAGACGGGUGAGUAAUGCGUAGGAAUCUACCUAGUAGUACGGAAUAGCCAUUAGAAAUGGUGGGUAAUACUGUAUAAUCCCCGAGGGGGAAAGAUUUAUCGCUAUUAGAUGAGCCUACGUUAGAUUAGCUAGUUGGUGAGGUAAUGGCUUACCAAGGCUAUGAUCUAUAGCUGGUCUGAGAGGACGAUCAGCCACACUGGAACUGAGAUACGGUCCAGACUCCUACGGGAGGCAGCAGUGGGGAAUAUUGGACAAUGGGCGAAAGCCUGAUCCAGCUAUGCCGCGUGAGUGAAGAAGGCCUUCGGGUUGUAAAACUCUUUCAAUAGGGAAGAUAAUGACGGUACCUAUAGAAGA